rnacentral:rRNA from 1 species
AGAUAGCAUGCAUGUCUAGUAUAGCAUUAUACGCGAAACUGCGAUGGCUCAUUAAAUCAGUAUCGUCACUGAUAUACCUUACUACAUGGAUACCUGUGGUAAUUCUAGAGCUAAUACAUGCUAAAAAUCCCGACUUCGGAAGGGGUGUGUUUAUUAGAUUAAAAACCAAUGCCCUUUCGGGGCUCACUGGUGAUUCAUAAUAACCUCUCGAAUCGCAUGGCCUUGCGCCGGCGAUGGUUCAUUCAAGUUUCUGCCCUAUCAACUUUCGACUGCUGGGUAUUGGCCAGCAGUGGUGACAACGGGUAACGGGGGGUUAGGGCUCGACUCCGGAGAAGGAGCCUGAGAAACGGCUACUACAUCCAAGGAAGGCAGCAGGCACGCAAAUUACCCAAUUCCGACACGGAGAGGUAGUGACAAUAAAUACUGAUACAGGGCUCUUUUGGGUCUUGUAAUUGGAAUGAGUACAAUUUAAAUCCCUUAACGAGGAACAAUUGGAGGGCAAGUCUGGUGCCAGCAGCCGCGGUAAUUCCAGCUCCAAUAGCGUAUAUUAAAGUUGUUGCAGUUAAAAAGCUCGUAGUUGAACCUUGGGCCUGGCCGGCCGGUCCGCCUCACCGCGUGCACUGGUUCGGUCGGGCCUUUCCCUCUGGGGAACCCCAUGUCCUUCACUGGGCGUGCGGGGAAACCAGGACUUUUACUUUGAAAAAAUUAGAGUGUUCAAAGCAGGCCUUUGCUCGGAUACAUUAGCAUGGAAUAAUAGAAUAGGACGCGCGGUCCUAUUUUGUUGGUUUCUAGGACCGCCGUAAUGAUUAAUAGGGACAGUCGGGGGCAUCAGUAUUCAAUUGUCAGAGGUGAAAUUCUUGGAUUUAUUGAAGACUAACUACUGCGAAAGCAUUUGCCAAGGAUGUUUUCAUUAAUCAGGAACGAAAGUUAGGGGAUCGAAGACGAUCAGAUACCGUCGUAGUCUUAACCAUAAACUAUGCCGACUAGGGAUCGGGCGAUGUUAUUUUUUGACUCGCUCGGCACCUUACACGAAAGUACAAGUUCUGGGU